GGGGGAGGCAAAUCCCAAAAAUAAACGUCCCAGUUCGGACUGUAGUCUGCAACCCGACUACACGAAGCUGGAAUCGCUAGUAAUCGCGAAUCAGAAUGUCGCGGUGAAUACGUUCCCGGGUCUUGUACACACCGCCCGUCACACCAUGAGAGUUGGGGAUACCCGAAGCCUGUGAGCUAACUAUUUAUAGGAGCAGCAGUCGAAGGUAGAAUCAAUGAUUGGGGUGAAGUCGUAACAAGGUAGC
rnacentral:rRNA from 1 species